rnacentral:siRNA from 1 species
GGUCGUGCCUCCGGCGCU